rnacentral:lncRNA from 9 species
GGGACGAUGCAGAGAUUAGCGGGGCCGCUGAGCGUGCAGAUUCUUGAGGUGAUGCAUAUGUUAAGGACAAAAAAAAAAAAAAGAAAAAGAAAGAAAGAAAGAAAGAAAUCCAGGGAGCUGUGUUCCGGGGAGGAGUCAGCAGAGACAAAGACGAGCUCAGGUGGGAAGGGUGCCGUGGUCUGGGCCGCGGGCCUCGGGCCGGGCAGCUCGGGGGCAGAGGGCACCAUCUGGAGGCCUUCCUUUCUUCAUCUUCUUUCUCUUUUUAAAUUUUAAAUUCCUCAAGUCUCCCACUUACCAGCCAAGCAAACUCAUUCGUAAACCUCUCUGCUAGUUUGUAUUUUAACAUAUGAUCUAAUUAUAUAUGCAUUACAAUACAUAAUAUAUGUUUAUGUACUACAAUUAUAUAUAUUAUCCACACUAGUUUGUUGAUUCUAGAUUGUAUCUAAUAAUGUUCCUUUAUUUUAGAAUAAGAUUGAGUUCACUUACAACACCUUCCCCAUCCUCUGUCUUCAAAUAAAUUAGUGCAUUGUUUUUCCCAGCUGCCCCCAUGACAUGUGGAAGUUCCCGGGCCAGGGAUUGAAUCCACGCCACAGCUGUGACCCACAUUGCUGCUGCAGCUGCAGCAGUGCUGGGUCCUUUAACCCCCCUCGCCAGGCUGGGGAUUGAACCUGCACGUCCACAGGGACCUGAGCUGCUGCAGUUGGACUUAACCCAUUUCGACACAGGAGGAACUCUCAUUUCCUUUCGUUUUAAAAACGAGGGAGACACGAAUUUGAAAGCUGAUGGAGGAUUCCAGUAAGAGAAGGAGAGAGAGAGGGAGAGCAUGUAGGUGAUUCUCUGAAGAGCCCUGCGGAGGCUGGGCGGGGUGGGUGGCAGGAUUUGCUUCAUCUCCAGGAGGGUGCCCUGGAGGAAGAGGCCCCGGGCAGCAGGGGUGGGUGGGCGCCGGGCAGUGCCCACGGGCAGUUUCAGUGGUUGCGGGAGGAGUUAAGGGACAGGGAGGACUGAGCCAAGGAGAGAGCAGUUGGGUGUCGGUGCUGAGGGGCUGCUUGGACAGGUGGACAAGGACGGAGAGAGGAAGCCAGGCAGGGACAGGCGCUCCUGCCCUCCCAGGCGGGGGAACCGUGCCGAGCGCCACGUCGGCUCCACACGUGGGAUCUCCGCUCUCUCCCCUGGCACCCCCCCAGCACCUCCACAUUGCUUACCUGGCACACAGGCUGAGAGGGGACCAGUCACAUGGGAGGUUUCAGAGGGCCAGCAGGUGCUGAUCAGACAGAGCCACAGGGCGGCCCUGGGAUUGGGUGGCUUGCGUGGCGGGGAGGAAGGAUGGGUCCGUGGUGUAGGACAAAGCUGCUAAGGCAGGUUUGAGAUGUGCGGGAGCCCCGUGUCCUCAGGGGGUGGGGACGUGACUCAGGGUUGUAGGUGGCUGCGGCAAGGAGGGCUGCUGGCUUGGACAGUGUCUCCCUGAGUCGUGUCCUCUCUGGGACCUCCGAAUGCAGCCUUAUUUGGCAAACUGGGUCACCGCAGCUGUGAUAAGUCAGGAAAAGGUCGCGCCAGGGGAGGGCUGGCCCUUCACCCAGCGUGACUGCUGUGUCCCCAUGAGACGAGGGACAGAGACCAGACAGAAGGCGCAGGGAAGCCCCUCCGUGAUGGGGACAGAGGGGACUGACACCGCUGCCAGCCAGCAACGCCAAGGCACCCGGGAGCCCCAGCAGCUGAAAGGGGCUGACGCCUCGCUGCCUCCAGGACUGUCGUUUCUCGUCACCCGGCAUGAGCCGCCCCGGGAAGCGAAGACGGAGGCGUGGACUGAGGUGCUUUGCCGUGACAUGUGUAACAAAGCAGACUCUGCCCAGGAGCAGAUGUGUUUGUGGCCACUUGCCGUGUCCUUGCAGGGAAUGCCAAAGACUGUACUGUUGUCACCACAGCAUCCAAAGGACACGGAUUACAAAGCAGUACCUAAGAUGACUUAUAAGCCACUUUGGGAGCUGCCAUGCUCUGGCGCGGACCCCACGGGUGGGUGCUGCUGUCACGCUCCGCACAGUGCCCUGACCCACGUGUGCCUGCCCGAGUCACAUCGAGCAGUGGCCUGCAGCUGAGGGUCCGGCUGAGCGGAGGUGGCGCUGGAUGCGCCGUGUCCGUGUCCCGUCCCGGGAGUUCACAGUUUGCCUUGGGAGGUGAUCCGACUGGCACAGUCUGGAGGCCUGGAGGGGCUGAGGCCAGGAGCAGCAUGAAGAGUCCGGGGAGCCAGGCCGCACCCAGUGGACAGGGCUCAGCUUGGGGACUGGAGGGCAGCUGCGACCUGGGCACUCUGGGUAGAGGGAGGGGCUCACUCCGAAACUGACGGCACUGACGGCCGGAACCCAGCCGGAACGCAGACUGGGACUCGAACCCACGGUUUUAAAUGAGAAUCCCUCACCCUGUGUCUGGACUCCCUGAGGUUCGGGUUCUUCAUGUCUCUGCGCAGAAGGAAUUCAGCGAGAGACAAAGUGAUGGGCACGAGGCAGAUUUAUUAGGAUAGGACGUUUGUGAGAGGCGCCAGCGGGCAGGCGAGGAGGCUCUGCCCCGGAGGGUCCGGUGGGCCGCAGUUUUAUCCUCCAGGGGAGUGGGGGUCGGAAAGGGCCGCCUCUUCCUUUCUGGGAGUCGCAGCGCCUCCUUAGCAUCGGGUCAGGUGUGUAUUCAGAUCAGCUGAGGGGCGGUCCUCAGACUCCUGCCCUGGGUCUGAAUCUGAAUGCAGCCCUCCUCCCAGCCCCCACCCAGUGACCCGAGGCAGUUCUCCUACCUCCACCUGCGAAGCAAGCCUGCCUUGUGCUGAUGGCUUUCCUGAACCACCAGUGGGCUCCUGGCAGGUUUCCCUCGGUAUCUGUGACCCCCCUUUGAGGCGGCUACAACCACCUGUGCCUGCUCCAUCCCUAUCAACCCUGCCUUCUCUCCCCUCCGUCCCCUGGACCGGGUGCAGCUGGAGGGGGGGCGUGCUGUGACCCCUGGGGGUGAGCCACCCUCCCCAGAAGGUCUCAGGGAGCACAGCCCAGCUGCUGCCGCGUGCCCGGCAAGGUAUGUAGGGAGCAGGGGUCCCGUCUUGCCCUCACCGGUGCCUAGCGGUGGCGGUGGCAGAGGCCCCGGUGCUCAAACCAAAGGGGAGGCCUGCCUCAGAGAUGAGCGAGGGUCACAGCCUGGGGACAGCCACUCUGUCAGUGCCUCCCUCGUCACUUGCCCUGUGGCUCUUGGCAAAAAAUAUCUUUAAAACCAAAAAAGAUGUUCGCUGUGCGUCCCUGAUCAAGAUUCACAAGAAAGAGGAAAAGUGGAAAAAAAGUGACAUCCUGUUUUUCAGCCAGGUUUGGGGGGAGCUUGGGGGGGGGGCGUCUGAGACAGGGCCCCAAGGGAUAAAGUGGGUGACAGUGGCAGCACAGAGAAGACAGAGGCUGCCUGGGUAUGAGUCUGGUCCAGCUGCCUCAUAGGGAAGGGGUCUGGAAUUCCUGGGGAGGCAGAAGGAAGCCGUGAGGGUCUCAGCGGGUCUUGGGGGGGGCACUGCCAUCCAGCUCAGGAGCACGGGUCCUGGAGGUGGAGGAGGUCGGGCUGCGGGAUGGGGAGAGGGCAGGAGGGACGACGGAGGGGGUUUCUCUUCGGCGCGAACAUCUGCCAGGCUAAGGGGGGAAGGUGGCUGGCCACGUAGGGACCUGGACCAGGUUUUAGCAGCAGCGUGGCUAAACGCUGGACGACGCCACAAAGACGCACAGACGGCCAGAAGCCUGUGAAAUACGCUCACCAUCGCCAGCCGUGAGCACUUCACUGGAAUCGAGAAUUUAAUAAAGAACUUGAGGAUGUGUGAAGGAGGACAUGCCCUGAUGAGUCGCCCUAAAGUUGUCACGUGUGUGGAUAAUUACGUAACUCAUGGUCACGUAAGGAAGUAAGACAUAAAAGGAACAUAAAAAUCAUCUAUAAUCCCCCCACCCAGGGCCAGUCAUGGAUUGCAUUUCAGGACCUGCACAACCAGAUGCUUUCAUGUGUGUAACUCAGGCGAGUCAGUUUACAGCCAAGAUUUUACUCCUUGGACUCAAUUAUACUUGAAAUCCUGUUCUUGGUUCUCAGCUUACUCCCUCCUCCCAACAAUCCCGGGUAAAUGUCAUUCAGGAUAAGAAACAUACAUUUUCAACCAUGUCCCGGGCAAAGGUGUGUGUGCAUGUGUUUCUCAGCCUGUCUCAUCAUGGGACGUUUAUAGACGGCCUCCGGUUUUUCAGUAUCAGAAACAAAGCUUCAACAAAUAUCUUCGCUGCUCAAGACAGUUACACUUUAUUAUUAUACCUUUCUUCUUUUUCCUUAGGAUAAGUUCCAGCACUUUCUGAUAAAGUAAUUCAAUUGUACAGGCGCAUGUGUGCGGCUCUUGAUCACGAGUUACCAGUCGGUCUGAUUUCUGCCUGUGGAAUUAAUCGUCCUUAGCGGCUCCUAUCGCUGGUGCCGGGCGGCCCGGCUCCCUCAGAUGUGAGCAACCUAAUCGGUGACCUCGCCAGCCCUCCGCCUCUCCCGUCACUCAUUCUGGGACAAACGGCUCUUGUUCUGCUUUUCACUUGCAAAGACUUCCUAUUCCUCUGUUUUUUUUUUUUUUUUAAAUCAGAGCUGAGCUUAAAUCGCUUAAACGGGGGUUUAACAAGAAACCUUGCAACGGCUUCUACUUUUAAAUACUCAGUGGCUCUUUCAAAAUAGGACGGUGUAAAUAAAGCUUAUGGCUGAGCACAGGCUAGGGACGCGUCCCUGGGGUUGCAGUUACUUUGCUUUUGCCGUGUCUUCAGUUUUGCAGACAAGCAAUUCAGUCUGCCAAUGGAACGCUUCCUUUUUGCAAUAAGGACAAUUUGGGGAAUUGUAAUUUAGCAAAUGGUAACUUCGUCAGUGUGCUUUGGUAACGAAUUUCCUUCUUGGGUACAGAGGGUGCCGUGUGACACUUCUGAACGUUAAGAACGGAGCCGCCACCUACUCAGGGUCAC